rnacentral:rRNA from 1 species
GACGAACGCUGGCGGCGUGCUUAACACAUGCAAGUCGAACGGAAAGGCCCUGCUUUUGUGGGGUGCUCGAGUGGCGAACGGGUGAGUAACACGUGAGUAACCUGCCCUUGACUUUGGGAUAACUUCAGGAAACUGGGGCUAAUACCGGAUAGGAGCUCCUGCUGCAUGGUGGGGGUUGGAAAGUUUCGGCGGUUGGGGAUGGACUCGCGGCUUAUCAGCUUGUUGGGGGGGUAGUGGCUUACCAAGGCUUUGACGGGUAGCCGGCCUGGGAGGGUGACCGGCCACAUUGGGCCUGCGAUACGGCCCAGACUCCUACGGGAGGCAGCAGUGGGGAAUAUUGCACAAUGGGCGGAAGCCUGAUGCAGCAACGCCGCGUGCGGGAUGCCGGCCUUCGGGUGGUAAACCGCUUUCGCCUGUGACGAAGCGUGAGUGACGGUAAUGGGUAAAGAAGCACCGGCUAACUACGUG